GACGAACGCUGGCGGCGUGCUUAACACAUGCAAGUCGAACGGAAAGGCCCUGCUUUUGUGGGGUGCUCGAGUGGCGAACGGGUGAGUAACACGUGAGUAACCUGCCCUUGACUUUGGGAUAACUUCAGGAAACUGGGGCUAAUACCGGAUAGGAGCUCCUGCUGCAUGGUGGGGGUUGGAAAGUUUCGGCGGUUGGGGAUGGACUCGCGGCUUAUCAGCUUGUUGGUGGGGUAGUGACUUACCAAGGCUUUGACGGGUAGCCGGCCUGAGAGGGUGACCGGCCACAUUGGGACUGAGCUACGGCCCAGCCUCCUCCGGGAGGCAGCAGUGGGGAAUAUUGCACAAUGGGCGGAAGCCUGAUGCAGCACCGCCGCGUGCGGGAUGACGGCCUUCGGGUUGUAAACCGCUUUCGCCUGUGACGAAGCGUGAGUGACGGUAAUGGGUAAAGAAGCACCGGCUAACUACGUG
rnacentral:rRNA from 1 species